rnacentral:miRNA from 3 species
UAUUGCUUGAGAAUACGCGUAG